CCUACGGGUGGCAGCAGUCGAGAAUCAUUCACAAUGGGGGAAACCCUGAUGGUGCGACGCCGCGUGGGGGAAUGAAGGUCUUCGGAUUGUAAACCCCUGUCAUGUGGGAGCAAAUUAAAAAGAUAGUACCACAAGAGGAAGAGACGGCUAACUCUGUGCCAGCAGCCGCGGUAAUACAGAGGUCUCAAGCGUUGUUCGGAAUCACUGGGCGUAAAGCGUGCGUAGGCUGUUUCGUAAGUCGUGUGUGAAAGGCGCGGGCUCAACCCGCGGACGGCACAUGAUACUGCGAGACUAGAGUAAGGGAGGGGGAACCGGAAUUCUCGGUGUAGCAGUGAAAUGCGUAGAUAUCGAGAGGAACACUCGUGGCGAAGGCGGGUUCCUGGACAUUGACUGACGCUGAGGCACGAAGGCCAGGGGAGCGAAAGGGAUUAGAUACCCUGGUAGUC
rnacentral:rRNA from 1 species